CUGAGUUCUCGAACUCCCAACCACUGUGAACAUACCACUGUUGCUUCGGCGGGCUACCGGUUCGCCGGGACCCCCGCCGGAGACACCACAAACUCUUGUAUUCUAAGGAAUCUUCUGAGUCGUCUUACAAAUAAGAAUUA
rnacentral:misc_RNA from 2 species